AUGGACAAGGGCAAGUUCGUUAUAGAGCAAUGUUUGGAUACCUCGAUGGACCAUUUUCGUAUGGCGGCUUCCCAACCCAACAAACCAACAAUGAAGGAGGAUGGCGAAGAUGAGAUGGCGGGAUGGUGGGAGAAGGCUGUGAAGAAGCUUAGAGAGGAGGAUGCAGCCAAGCUAAAGAAGAAGGAAGAGGAGCUUGAGAAGAAGAGGAAGGAAAUAGAGAGAGCGUCAAAUGCGAUGCGCGCUAGGGAGCAAGCGUUGGUGAGGAAAUGUGAGGAGGCACAGAAGAAGCGUCAAAAGGAUUUUGAAGAAAGAACCAUGAAGCUUUGGGCAAUUGCAGCUGAAAAAAAGGGAGAAUCAGAUAUUCAUGGAGAGGGUGGUUAA
rnacentral:rRNA from 1 species